GUUUCUAGAAUUAUAAUGCACAAAUUCCCAAACAAAGGAUAACCAUGUAUAUUUGUGGGAAUUUAGAUAAAACCCAAUUCACUUCUACCUACCUAAGUGUAGGCUACUUUCAAAAAAAAAGGGAAGAGAACAGAGCCAUCUUCCUCACCCUUCAAGUUUAAAUUCGUAGAGAUUUUCAAGUAGCAGCUGCACUACUUUAAAAGAAGAAGGUUCCGGCUAGGAACGAGCCCGACACUAGAGUACGAAGUAAGAGAAACAUAUCAGGUUAAGUUUGAAUGAAGAUGGAAGUGUGCUGAGCUGGAGCUUUUUGUUUAUGUAAAUAGUGAUAGGCUCAGGAUGUUGUGUCUUCAUACAUAAUGUCCAAUGAUGUACUCCGCUGCAACACUUUAUUUCUCUUAUCACUUUUGACGUGUUGUAGGAUUUUUGAAAACCUUAACCUGUAUGUGAGCUUGAUAAAUCUUGGUUAUGAUAUUUAUUUGGUUUAAACUUCUUUUGAUAAAGUUUGGUGGUUAUAUAUA